rnacentral:lncRNA from 1 species
GCUCACCCUCCAAGAAGCCCCCGCCACCAUCACCAUCACCAUCACCAGAGACCUCAAUGGCCACACAUGGGCCUCUGUCACCUGUUGAAUGGGAUAAUGACCCCAGUGAGAAGGGGCAGCUGUCCUUGUUGCUAGCUAGAGACCUAGGGCUUCGAGGCACAGGCCACCCUGGUCUUUGGGGCCCACAUGGGCUGGGAGCCCCCCAGGCCUUCCCUCCCAGCAUCAUACUCACUCCUGCCCACCAACACUCUACAACAGGAUGGGGACCCGGGACCUCAGAGACUCUCUACAGCAGGAGAGGGCCCAGGGGAAGGCGCUGCCACAUCCAGUGUGUUUCAUGCUCUGGGCAGAGAGCCCCGCACCCGGACUUAGAGACCUAGAGAGAGGCAGAAGGUGUGUGAGACACUCGGAGGAAGGAGAGCGCCAAGAGGGAGAGAGCCGGGGCCACCGGGACACCGCCCCGGAGCCUGGGCCGGGAGGUAGAGGAUGGGGGGCGCGGGGCAGGGCGCGGACCCGGUGGCCGGCAAGCAGGCCGGCAGGAGGCAGGUGGCGGGUGGCGGGGCAGACAAUGGCGCCGAGGGGUGCGGGACCUGGGACUAAAUCUGGCGUCGCCUUUGCAGGGCGCGGGGCCGCCCGCUCAUCGCGCUGCAGAGGAGAGACGAAAUGAAUAUGCAGCGCGGGCUGUAAUUGGGCCGCCGCGGCCGCCGCCGCCGCCGCCGCACUAUAAUUUUCCAAACAGGAUCUUGCAAUCAGGGCCUUAUUCAUUAGCGCAUAAACAAUUUUGUUUCUCGG